UUUGCCUAAAAUGCAGUGUGACAGAUUAGUAUGAACUAAAUAAGCAGCCUAGAUAUAUAAAAAAAAUCAAAGCAAGUUUAUCUUUGAUUGAAAAACUAGCCCAAUCCUCAUCACUUAGACCAGCCCCAUCCACAACCUCGUCAAUUAAAGUACUCCAAUCUAUUGUCUCAUCAAGUUGAUUAGUUGCAUUUGUACCAUCCACAAAAACAAAAUCAGCUUGAGUAGUAAUAUUCAUCAUACCUUGAUUAUUUUCCAUCAACACCGGCAUAUCAGAUUGAUCAUCUGUUGAAUUUUCAUAGUGAACAAUUUGAUUUGUGCAAUCCACAAGCACAUCAUGUUGAUUUCACCAUUUGUAACAUCCAGCACCAUGUCUCAAUCUCCGUCAGAAGCAAACAAAGAAGCAUACAAGAUCCUCAUCUACAGCAAGUUCUGCGGCUCGAUCUGGAUGUGGUUGGGUUUGGGGGUCUCGAUCUGUGUAUGCACCUGGUUUGGAGUGGCUAGGUUUGGGUGUGGGGUUGUUGUUUUCUGGGUUUAUGGUGAAUAAGGGAAAAUAGAGAACAUUUUAUGGGUAAUUUUUUUCUGCUUGAGUUCGCUUCUGGGUAAGGAAUGGAUGAGAACUGCUGAUGAAGAUGAGUAUGAAGAGCAAGAGGGAGAGUACGAGCAACAUGAUAUGUGAUUUUGAUGAAGAUGGAUAACAUGCUGCAACUUCCUGUUGCCAGUUCAUACUCUUGUUCCUGUUACCCGUUUUACACUUUUGUUCUUGCUACCAUAUCAAACUAUUUCAGAUUUCUAUUUUUGUUUCUAGUAUGACAAUAUUGCUCAAACAAUUUGUACUAUUUUAAUCUGCUUGAACAUUUUCUGGGUUUAUGCCACUGUGAUUUGCAAGCUAAA